CUUCCAGUCGCCAAUUCUGUCACUUUUUACUGAGCAGGCAACACAAGACAUUGUUCAAUUCUUAAGCAUGUGCAUUCGAUCACCUGCAAAGAUGGAUAUACAGUGUGUGAAGGUGGCCGCUCAGGAUGGAGUUGAAUGUGGCAUUCAUGUGAUACACAAUAUUAUGACAAUGGUCAAGUUUUCUGGGCUACCUGCAUCAAAGCACCUGCAAAAGUCUGUAAACACUGCUGAAUUACGUGGAUUGAUCCUGUUAUCAUGCUACUCCACUCAACAAAGCCAAAAGACAUCUCACAGAGUCAGAAGGAGUAAAGGGUUGCUAAUACAGAUCUGCAG